UCUGGCGGCUAGCUCUGGUACGCGUUAAAUCACGCCGUGUGUUACGGUGUUCUUCCGUUGCAUCAUCUUAGGGGCAGGCGUCAUCAGGACUGGCGUGCACGUGCCCUCAUGUACCUAACACGGCCUCUACGAGCAUUUCUGUGUACUGCAGCGCACCGAACUCCUUGGAUCUAAUGCGUCUUUUGGGCACGAGUUUCAGCAUUUUCCUCGCUGUUAAUGAUGCCGACAGACACAAUACAGUUUCCUCAGUUUCCACGGGCUGAAACAACCAGAGUUGCUGAACUUCUCUUUCCCUCAGGUGAAAUCAGAGGGUUUAGAACACUGUGCACCUUUAGUGAGCUUUCCAAGUAAAAAUACAUUUAGCAAAGUAAAAGGGAGUAAUAUAUUUACAAAAAUACAAUCUUUUAUUUGCUCCUAAAGGGCUUCUGCCAUUUCCGUACUGACAAAAGAUGCCUCUUGUGAGCUGUGAACAGCUUGGAAAACUCAGCCAAAGAGCCCCUGGACUGCUCACUGUGCUGCUGAAACCCACUGGGACUCCCAUACUAUCUCCCCAAAAGGAGCCCUGAGGGUAUUUUACUUCUCAGUCUCAUAAAUAUAGACUUAAGCAAUCAGAUAUAUAAAGCAUUUCUAAUGCUUCCACCUGGUCCUUGGUGAUGACACGAGGGACGGUUUAACUUCAGUGUGAUACACAUCUUGUGAAGAUGUUUUCCACCUGGACCUGAUGGCUCCGUGCAAUACAGAGGUUGAUGCUGACAUGCUGGAAAGAGGAAGCGCCUACGUGGGAGACACUGUAAGGGCAGCUCUGAGUGACUGAGCCCUGAAACAGCCGCAGCGUGCAUCAGGCAACAAGAAUCAGACCAGACAGUUCAGACUACACAAGUUUCUUUGGUCCUUCCUUCAUGAGGGGACACUGAGAUGAAGUUCUUGCACAACUUGUGAGAUGCCAUUCAAGAUCACAAAAACAAAUCUAUUUUACAACUCAGGAUCUUUCACAAGAAGACAUUACAACAGUAUAGUUUAUACAAAACAGCAGAGAAAAAAAAAAUUGGAAAACUAAGUAUCAGAAAGUGCCAGAAUUAAGGACAGAGUAACCUUAAAUUCUGACCUUUGGAUAUGCAAUUCUUUUACAACUGCCUCUUCUUCUCUAGCAUAUGUAUUUAUUUUUGAUCCAUCAUUCUGCAGUCAUCCAAGCCUUACCUAUGUGUACUUUCCAAACACUGUAGAUGUACCUACCCAAUAUGUUGCAUCCAAAAUAUUUUCUUGCUUUUCUUUUAGACCAUCAGUAUUGAUCACAAGAACUGCAAUGCCAAAUGAACCCAACUUUUCACACUCCACUGAGGUAGGGAGGUAUCAUUGACUACAGCUCACUGUAGCACCGGGGAACAUACGCAUAGGCAGAAUAAAGCCAAAGUUACCAGGAGGCCCAGUUUUCGAUGCUGACAGAUUAUGUGGAGUACUUGCCGUUAUUACAGUACUUCACUUGUUCAAAGCAUGGCUUUCAACAGCUGCUAGCAUUGGCUGCUUCUGCAAAGCAGGCCUCAGAGUACAAGCACUGGACUCCAGGCAGAGAAAUGCUAUAGCAGUGAUGAUCACCUGCAAAGAGCCUCGUUAAAAACUGCACAGAUCCUUUGCAAAGAUGGCACAGAACAUGUUUUUGGAAAGCUUGUCACAGUGAGGCCAACCUUUCUUUCUCCCAAAUCCCUUCAGCCCAUAUUGCACUUUUCUUCACCAGUGCACAGGAACAGCUGUCCAGCAGGAAAGUCACUCCCACUGGUUCCUGUAGCGUAAAAAGUACACACAGUCCUACACAAAAUGAGAUAGCAGGGGUGGACUUUACAGGCAGCCAACACUUGUAUGCUCCCCAAAGCUUCUGCACAUGCCCCUGGAAAGCCUAGGCAACCUCCAGCUUGGCUGGACCUGAGCAAAGAGGAGAGCUUGAACGCCAGCAGUGCCACCUCUUCCCCAUAUCAUAGACGGAAGUGCUGCUCUGCAAUUCCUUGGGGCAUAAAUCCUGUCCUUGCAGCCCACCACACCCUCCUGCCUUUUCAUUCCUCUACCUUGGUGGGAAGUAUCUGUCUCAAUUCACAAGCCCCUUCUCUCACUGUUUCUUGCCAACAAAACACAUUGAAAACAACCACCAGAUGGGAACACAGGCAGGAAUUCAAGGUUAACCAGCAGCUGACAUGGAAGGUAUCUUUUCCUCAAAUGAAUCUGUUCAGAGCAAAUGAUCAAGAUUAAGAAGUGGCCAGACACAAAGCCCUUCUGUCUGUGAAAGGGACUUGCCCUACAGUGACUAAGUGACCAGUCUUGCAGCCACAUCUUUAACCAAGAGCUUGGAUGCAGGAGUUGUCGCCCCUUCCCAUUCGACAGCAGUGCGUAGGACAGGUUUAACCACUUAAAAGGCAGCAUACGUCCCUGCAAAGAAGGUACAGUGCCCGCAUUCUGAAGAGCUAGUGAUUCCCAUGUGCCUCAUGAAGCAUUUUGAGGUAGCCUGUCAACUAGGGAAAUGAUUACAAAGUCAUUAGCGAGAGCUUUAUUGGGGUGGUAUUUGGGAACCUUGAUGUUGGGCCAAUGUCUGUACCUGAUGGUACGAAAACAAAACAUGUUCAACAUGCACAAGAAGGCCAGAGUGUAACACCAGUGUAUAGAUUUCCAGAAGUUAAUGUAAAAACAAGGCCCCUGAGGCUGUUGGCCUAUGUUUUGCACGGCGCUUUGGCAUGCAGCAGGAAUAAUCUAAUCACAUUAAUCACAGAAAUGCCAAAGCACCAUCCAAAUUCUGAAAUCUCAGCGUAUGCUUUGACAUUUCUAGAAAAACAAUUUUUAUUCAAUGUCACCUAUCACUUUCCUUAACAUUAUUAACGAAAUUAAGAUGUAAGAAUUCUCUGUUGGAGAAGCCAGAAAUUAAGAUGCAAGAAUUCUCUAGCUUCUCCAGUAAGUGCCAGCAAGAAAAGCUACCUUGUGAUUCCUAUGAGUAAUUCCCCUGCCAUAUUUCAUUAGGGGAAUGCCAGUGGAAAUGCACUGCUUUGGCCAUGCUGCUGCAGCCAAAUUGCAGAUGUCAGGACCUGUCCAAGCUCUCCGUAACUCCUGGCAUCCUAUUUUAUCUUGACGCUUUAAAAUAUCAUCAACUUGAAGGAGAUACAGGUGGGGAACCAAGUAUGAGCAUGAGAAAAUAUUAGGAAGAACAACUCCAGCAUGAUGACAACUGGUAGCACCAGAAUUAUUGUGUAAAAACUGGUGUCAGCCUAUUAAAGCUUCUUUAGGCUUGGGAAAAACAGGGCAGUGAAAGACGUGGCUUCAACCUCUUCCAAACGCCUGAGCCCUGAAGCACCUCAUGCCCUCAAGCCCAGGGUGUUUUCCUGUGAUCUUAUGGAUAUCAGCCCGUUUUAGACAAGGCUGAAUUACCACAAGAUGUCCACUGCUGUACAUGCAUAGCCCCAACAGGCCAAAAGAUAAGAAGAAACUGCAAAACUUCAUAAGAACUGCAGCCCCAUAUGGGCUGCAUUCCCAUCAAAGAGAGCAAAGCACAGCAGGUAGGUCUUGCUUCUCCACCUACUCAAAUAUGCUUGGUUUUGCAACCACGCAAUGAAAUUUUCACAACUCCAGAUGAAAAUAACAUAACAGUGGGGUCAACAAAUGACAUCACUAUGGGUAGUGUGAAAAACAUACAGGUGACACAGCAACUGCUAAUCGGAGACAAUGCCUUACAGCCCCAUGAACAGAAAAAACACCAUCAAUCACCAUGCAUGCAGAGCAUCAUUCCUGACGACAAGAAGAAUGGCUUCAGCCUGCAGCCACUUCAGGCCUCUGCCACUGUGCCUAUCAAGCAUGAUGAGGUCUGAGGCUUGAGCCCAACAGGACAGCUACACAAGCACAUCAGGCUCAUGCCCAGCAAACAUCACGUCUGGAACUGUGCCACUGUCAUCUUUUCCAGGAUUUCUGCUCAAAGCACCCAUGACGGGGACUAACAUGCAAGUAGCUUGUGAUGUGUUCAGUGUAGCCUUUACUUCCAGUCUUACUUGGAUAAACUAGGUAUUUCAAAUGCAACCUUUGUCUAAAAGGAAUGGAGGAGCAGGAGGGGGAAGGCAGAUUUUAGGUGUCACAAUAUGUUAAGUCAUUAAAAAUAAAGGACAUUUUAAUUUUGGAGGAAACAGCAUAGAAAAUUAAAUUGAAGGUAUACUUUUCUUUAAGAAUUAUUUUAAAAUGUAUAUAUAUAUACCAUAUGUACAGCAAAAAGUAUGCACUAGAACUAAAACCUGCUUAUUCAUUAAUUUUACAUAGGGUGCAAAGUCUGCACAAUAAAAAUACACACUAAUAAACUCUUUUCUGCUAGAAAAACUAAUACACAUGGAUAAAAGAGCUGCAAGUCAAGCAAGCAGCAGGCUUCCUGGCCACUACCAGCUGCCUUUCCCACAGGGUUAGGUCACCAGAACAGGCCUUGGGAAAUAAAUGGUAUAACCAUUAGACUACAAUAUCUUCAGCAGAAAAAAAAAUGGAAUGCCAACUCUGAUUUUGGUAAUUGAUUGGGAUUUUUUUUUAAUAAAGGACAGGUUUUUUAUCCUUACAAUGGCAUAUUUUAUGAAUGUAGAGGUUUGCAGAGUAGAGGGAUUUUAAAAUGGCAUGGGAAUGCAACGUGACCCGUGGGGCAGCAACUGGCUGCUACCUGCAGCUCUUGCUUUUCCUGCACUGUGCCUCGAAGUAAAGUUUUCCCUUCUUUUGCCUAUAUUUUCCUCGCAGCCUCACUGAAAACCUAAGAGAUGAAAGUGCUUAAAAGCCAAAAUCUUAAAAGGGCCAUGAUAAGCAGCAGGCAAAGUGCUCUCAGUGAAAUAACGCGCUUAUCCAAACUGAUAGUAUGAGAAACUGCCUUUUAAGCCCCAUCUUUAGACUGUGUACUUCAGAUAAAUAGAUUAUUUUGUUAUGAGCUACUACAGGCUACAAUAUACUCACAUAAAUAUAUUAACGCCUAUACAUGUAUAUGAAUUUUUAUAUAUUGAGUACAUACAAGAAACACGACAAAGAGCAGAUUACUGCCACGGCUGCAUCUUUCAGGGUGGAGCCCACCAUGCGUAUCCCCAAGAUGUGAUUUCUGUCACCUCCUCGCAGUGCCAUGCGGGGAACCUGGCCACAGGAAGCCUUCCAGCCCUUUGUCAGUGUGCUGCUCUGCUAGUCCUUUGCCAAGAAAGGCAGCUUCUUCACAGCAGGUGGGGGUCAGCUGGCAAAGCCUCCAUGACACCUUUUUCUCAAAACAAGCCCUUGAGGGACGGCACGAGCGUCUGCGCCAACGGAAGGGAAAGCUAAGCACAAGAACUUGGUGUGGCCGUGAAAAUCUUGUUUGUCAGGCUCAGCAACAGCAUUCGGAACGGACCUAAGCUGCCAGAGAGCCACAGCAGGCACUGCCACCAGCUCAGGCUGUUCAGCAGCACUGCGCACUACAUCUCAGUGUCCCGCUUUGAUGAGCUCAGAGGAUCUGCACUACCGCACCUGUCCAGGAACUGGGUCAAGAAGGUACAACAGGUCCAUAUCAGACAUGUGCAUGCAGGGUAUGACCUCUUCUAGAUUCAGAUUACAAUGCUGAAGCACCCUUGCCAGACCAGUGGCAGAAAUGUGCUCCUAUUAUUUACACAGUAUAAAGUGCAUUAGGCUUUUCUUAUUGAACUGACAGACUUCUGUCUGGACCAUACAAUUUUGAAACAGAGGUGAGGACUUUAAUAGGAAAUUCUCUCAUGAGAAAAGAGGUUCAGAUUGGUACUCUUCACCCUGUCCUCCUAGAAUUUUUUUUGGCCGUACUUUCUAGUGCAAAUAAGCUUGUGUUUUCUCAAGUUUAAGGGACAUGGCAGUUUUAGGGCACAGAGAAUGAACAUUUGAAAUGCAUGAGGAACACAGCAUUCCCAAGCAUUGCAACGGGCCCUUCUGCACACAAGCAGCCUACAUUAUUGCUGCUCUCAGAGGUUGAAAAUGCACUGCCAAAAAUAAUGAUGAACCCGUUUCCAAAUCUAACUGGUACAAUCUUGCAUUGCUACAUUUUGAAUUGGUCUGUUUUAUCCUCCAAUGACAAUAUUUGCAAGCACCAGUGCUUUACAUUUCCGUGGAAACCUGUUGCUAGUGGUUUACCCAUUGGUAGUCGGCUGUGAACUUGAAGAUCCCAUCCAGUUUUGGAUACUAAGGUGCAUCCCACGCGGGGAGAGUACAUGCAUUAGUGAAUCCCGUGGAACCAGCCCUGCCGCACAGCCAGCACUGGAUUCCUGGCUGCUAUUUACAGUACACUAAUGCAAUCAGAAGGCCAAUUAAUUAACUCAGGAAAAAGAUUAAAAAAAAACAAAUGGGUUAAACACACAGAGAUACUAGUCUUACUAAGAUACAGCCAGCUGCAUUUAGAUACCCUCUUGUCAAAAUGGCAAGUGAGUAGCAAUAACAAAAGCCAUUUUGCAUCUCAUCUUUUUUUUUUUUUUCUUUAAAGCAAAAGACAUGAUAAUAAAAGACAUAAUAAACAGGCCUUUUCAAUCACUUUGCCCAUUGCAAGUAUUUUCCUUACUAACACCAAAGGAACAGAAGGAAUGCAUGACCACUUACAACAACACCUAACCUAAGCAAAUUCUAACAUGGCAGCUUUUACGAUGCAUUGACACAGACGUGGGCUUGGACUGGAAGAUGUCGAGCGCGUAGGGGAGGGGUGCCACACGGGAGCAGGAAGGCGGGCAUAAAAGAGUUGUACAUUCAUAGCUCCAGUUGAUUAGGAUCUGUGAUAAGUUCAUUGUUACUCCAGGCACUGUAAUGGGCAGCAGCAGCCAGCGACGUGCUGACUUGUGCAUCCAGGACUUGCUUGCUAAACUCUGGUUUCACACCAACUGGGACGAGAAGUUAUUGUAAUUGUUUGCUAACCAAACCUGUUAAAAACAUUGCGACCAAAGCCUAGAAGCAAAGAUGAACCAGUACCCCAUAAUGCCUCUAGCUGAUUCAUUGUGGUCUGCUAGCAGUUCAAGUGGUGGAAUGAGAAAAUGUCUUACAGACUUGAAAAAGUACCUGAAAGAGCAGUCUGUGCAGAAAUGGAUGGUUGUUGUGACACUAAGCCAAAUGUUUGCUUGCUGUAACUGCUAUAUGUAGUUUUAUGUAAAGGGCGAAUCACCUAAAACAGUGAAAUUAACUUUCUUACUUUCUGUCACAACUGUGACAUUUCCUAAAGAUUCUUUGGUGAUUUUGAUGCAAGCUUUUUUUUUUUUUUUUCCCUCUUUUUCUUUUUUUUUUUCCUUUUUUUAAAGUUAAAACAGAUUGACUGUUAUUGGUACCCAAAGUAAAGUCCAGAUUAUCCUCUCAAAUCCCACCCCUGCCUCCCCAGCUUAUCUUCCUAUAGUUAAUAUCAUAACAGGCAAUAGCUUUUGGAUUUAGCGUGGCCAUGCAGCGUGCAGGUGGGUCCAGACUAAGAGUGAAGAUAAAUACCUUUCUGAACAGAUUUUAAAAAAAAGUGGAAUGGUUGAGUUGGAAAACAUCUGGUCCACGUGCACACUUGGCCACUCUGCAAAAUACAAUGCAAGUGAUUAUAAAUAUCUGACUAGUCAGAGUAACACAUCCUUCAAACAAACCUUAAAGGUGGGCAACACAUUCUUUAAAGUACCUGGAGCUCAACCAAAUUCCCAAUGAUUUCAGAAGGAGAGGAACCAGCACCCAAUGGCUGAAAAAAGCCCCUUGAAUGAUAUGUAUCCAUUUGCUAAGAAAUAACCAAGAAUUUUCAAAGUCUUCAGGCCUGGUAAUUCUAUGCAUUUUCCCUCCCAGCAGAGAAUUCUUCUGACAGGGACUGUAAGGUGCAGGUUGCAGAGCUGCCAGUGGACUUUGCACAAAGCUAGCAAUCAAUAACCAGGCAUCAAACUGCUGGAUUUCAGCUCCAGCUUCUACAGGGCGGUAAGGAGGUGAUGGCAGGGCACUGGUCUUAUGUUGUACUAAUAACAUCUGUAAAAUCAACGUGACAGAAAAUCUGAUGUAGCCUUAACCAUGGCUUUGAAAAUGCAUUACAGAUCAAUAGGACAGAGAUGCAUUUUGAGAUACGAAUCAAAUAGUGCACCAAACUCCCCAAAGGUUUUCCUCCCAGCAGGAGGAGAGAAAUGCCCAGUUGUUGUCCUCAUGUGUGUAACAUUGUGGCCGCAUUCAUCUCACAAUUGGGAGGGAACCCUGGAACCUCAAUCACAGCAGCCAUCUGGCUCAGCACACCCUUUCCACAGCCUCCUGCCAGAACCCACAACACCCCGGCUACAAAAAUAGCUUUUGAAAUUUUGAGGAAUGCAUUAAAAAAAUCAUCAGCCCCGUGUGGGCAGAACACGGAGAUGAAGAAUGGAUUACGACUUGUUGCCAUUAAUUUGGAAGGCUUAGCACUUGAGCACAGUUUCAUAUCCUGGGAUACUCAGGUUAUUUGCUUAGCACAAAACUAUGAGAUUAAUAACAAAUCGUCUGCUCUCCACUAGCACAGUAUUAAAGGUCUGACUGGUUAUUGAGAUUUCUCCCACAAAGAACAUCAUUUCAAACUCAGUAACCAGCAGAUCCCAAUUUUUAAACAUCUCCCUCUCCUCAUACAUGUCUGAACAAUUAACAUGAAGACAGUUUUUGCAGUAAGUGCCCUAUGGCUCAGCUCUUCAGCCUUCUUACCGAGUACAGGCAGAAUUCAGUUCCAGAAAAAAUGCCAUAAGCAGAAACCGAUACAUUUCAGUGUGAGGGCUUUUUUUUUUUUGCACCACGCUGAAGUGCAACACAAGCCUUAUCUAGACUAUUUAAAGGUCAGAAUGCCGUCUUUUUUGUGCUGAUACACAUACUUUCAUAGUCUUACACACUCAAAGAAGCUGACUCAUACAGACUUGGGAGGUUGGUACUUUCUUAAGAAAUACAGAGAUAUUUUGGGUGUAAUAUAGCAUGAUAACCAGACUCCCAUAACAUUAUGUACUGACUACCAGAAAAGGACUUUACAAAAAAAAAAAAAAAAAAAGGGGCAACUUCAAAUUACUA